CAGUAGCCACGGUAAUACGGAGGGAGCUAGCGUUGUUCGGAAUUACUGGGCGUAAAGCGCACGUAGGCGGCUUUGUAAGUUAGAGGUGAAAGCCUGGAGCUCAACUCCAGAACUGCCUUUAAGACUGCAUCGCUUGAAUCCAGGAGAGGUGAGUGGAAUUCCGAGUGUAGAGGUGAAAUUCGUAGAUAUUCGGAAGAACACCAGUGGCGAAGGCGGCUCACUGGACUGGUAUUGACGCUGAGGUGCGAAAGCGUGGGGAGCAAACAGGAUUAGAGACCCCAGUAGUCCCUGUCUCUUAUAC
rnacentral:rRNA from 1 species